rnacentral:rRNA from 1 species
AAGACCAAAGAGGGGGACCUUCGGGCCUCUUGCCAUCAGAUGUGCCCAGAUGGGAUUAGCUUGUUGGUGAGGUAACGGCUCACCAAGGCGACGAUCCCUAGCUGGUCUGAGAGGAUGACCAGCCACACUGGAACUGAGACACGGUCCAGACUCCUACGGGAGGCAGCAGUGGGGAAUAUUGCACAAUGGGCGCAAGCCUGAUGCAGCCAUGCCGCGUGUAUGAAGAAGGCCUUCGGGUUGUAAAGUACUUUCAGCGGGGAGGAAGGUGUUGUGGUUAAUAACCGCAGCAAUUGACGUUACCCGCAGAAGAAGCACCGGCUAACUCCGUGCCAGCAGCCGCGGUAAUACGGAGGGUGCAAGCGUUAAUCGGAAUUAC